rnacentral:sRNA from 1 species
AUCAUAGGAACUUCAACUAAAACCGCCACGUUCAAUGGCGAACGCUGCAGUCUGUACAUCCUGUGCA